rnacentral:rRNA from 1 species
GAUGAACGCUAGCUACAGGCUUAACACAUGCAAGUCGCGGGGCAGCAUGGGGGUUGCUUGCAAUCCCCGAUGGCGACCGGCGCACGGGUGAGUAACGCGUAUCCAACCUGCCCUUCACCACGGGAUAACCCGGCGAAAGUCGGACUAAUACCGUAUGUUGUCCAUUGACGGCAUCCGAUUUGGACGAAAGGGUUGGCGGUGAAGGAUGGGGAUGCGUCCGAUUAGCUGGACGGCGGGGUGACGGCCCACCGUGGCGACGAUCGGUAGGGGUUCUGAGAGGAAGGGCCCCCACACUGGAACUGAGACACGGUCCAGACUCCUACGGGAGGCAGCAGUGAGGAAUAUUGGUCAAUGGGCGUAAGCCUGAACCAGCCAAGUAGCGUGCAGGAUGACGGCCCUAUGGGUUGUAAACUGCUUUUAUGCGGGGAUAAAGUGGCCCACGUGUGGGUUUUUGCAGGUACCGCAUGAAUAAGGACCGGCUAAUUCCGUG